rnacentral:rRNA from 1 species
GACGAACGCUGGCGGCGUGCUUAACACAUGCAAGUCGAACGGAAAGGCCCUGCUUUUGUGUGGUGCUCGAGUGGCGAACGUGUGAGUAACACGUGAGUCACCUUCCCUUUACUUUGGGAUAACUUCAGGAAACUGGUGCUAAUACCUGCUAGGAGCUCCUGCUGCAUGGUGGGGGUUGGACAGUUUCGGCGGUUGGGGAUGGACUCGCGGCUUAUCAGCUUGUUGGUGGGGUAGUGGCUUACCAAGCCUUUGACGGGUAGCCGGCCUGAGAGGUGGGACGGGCACAUGGGGACUGAGAGACGGAGCAGACUCGUAUGGGAGGCAGUAGGGGGGAAUAUGGCACAGUGGGGGGGAGCGUGAUGAAGAAACGCUGCGAGCGGGAUGAAGGCCUUGGGGGGGUAAAGCGCAGUAGGUUGAGACGAAGCGGGAGUGACGGUAAUGGGUAAAGAAGCACCGGCUAACUACGUG